rnacentral:rRNA from 1 species
UACGUAGGGUGCGAGCGUUUAAUCGGAAUUACUGGGCGUAAAGCGUGCGCAGGCGGUUUUGUAAGCCAGAUGUGAAAUCCCCGGGCUUAACCUGGGAAUGGCAUUUGGGACUGCAAGGCUUGAGUGCGGCAGAGGAGACUGGAAUUCCUGGUGUAGCAGUGAAAUGCGUAGAUAUCAGGAGGAACACCGAUGGCGAAGGCAGGUCUCUGGGCUGACACUGACGCUCAUGCACGA